UACCCCCACAACACCCAUAGUCCCACUCACGCCUCCCUGCAAGAUACAUCACGACAAGGAGCAGUUGAUAGACAGCGACACCGAGCUCAAGGCAGAUAGUCUUUCGCUCCUUCCUUCCUCGCACACCGAACAAGUUCAAGUAACGAUGCGCUGGCCAUUCCUGGUGUUCACUCUUACCCUGGCGGUGCUGGUGAUGGCUGUGGCGGGCCGAAUCGACGCUCAGAAGUUCUCACAGACCCAUAUGAUGGCGUGCAGCAGCCUGUGUCACCGAAUGGACAACCGUGGCAUAUGCAGGCCGGACAUAAAGUGCCUCCGCAAUAUUCGACGACGCUGGAGACUCUAAAGCAUACCAUUCACCCCGAGUCCAUCACUUACCUGUAACAACGCUCCCUCCAUCCCGGACUUAUCCUCCCCUCCUUCCAUCUCACUCAUGAACAUCCUUCCACUCCAUCCUUACUCCAGCUCCCAAAAUUUCCUGCAGCACAUUCGAUCCAUCCCCCGACAUCUUCGUUUUCAACCUCAUUUACGCAUUGAUUUCCUCACGUAUCCCAACCGCGGCCCCCAGCCAUGAGAGCCUGGUGUAUUGCAAACCGGUGCCUCCCUCACUCACCUCGUCAUCCACGACAUCUCUCCCUCGUUCCUUUACAUCAUCGUCGUCACCAAAGACUCGGAGUAGCUUCUCGGCCAUACACCUUUUUUUAUGUUUCUACAUUCUUUGUUUUCUUUUAUAACUAUUUUAUUCUCUCUGAUCAGUACUAUCAAUCCUCUUCCUUCUACUCUGCACAUGUUGUACAGCUUUCUGAAGUUUUUCUACGUGAGCUUCUUGCCACUCCACUUCAACAAAUUAGAUGGAAGGCGGUGGCCUAGUGACCAGCCCACGGACGAAGCUGACUUGGAUACAUAGUGACUUCCAAAAAUAAAAAAAAUCAAGGAUGGCUGAGUUUUCUUCACUAACCAAAAUCAUCCACAUGCUGUCUCGCAGCCCUUCCCUUGGUUAUGACUUCGACUGAAUCAAUGGAGGACAGAAUGAGACAAGCAGCAAGGAAAAACUGACGUCGCUAUGAAGCAUCAGCGGCCUGAGGAUGACCACACGCACCCGACAACGUAGCCGACCAGAGCAUUACGCCAGCAUAGAGAAAGCAAAACAGACAAUGCUAAAACAUUUGUGUCACUUUCACUGUCACUCCUUAGUGACGUGAUGUAUUUAACUGUAGAGUUGUAAUGAUUGAAUAAAUUGAUGACCAAUUUGUAUACUUUAUAUUGUAUUGUAUAUUUGUAUAUUGUAUUGUAUAGACAAAAGAAAAUAUAUUUUUACCUUCGUUUA